rnacentral:tRNA from 1 species
GCAUGGGUGGUGCAGUGGUAAAGCUCCCGCCUGCCAUGCAGGAGGCCCAGGUUCGAUUCCCAUCCCGUGCA